GCCAAACUACCCUUCGGAGCACGAUAACCUCGGGAAACUGAGGCUAAUAGUGCAUAUCACACUCACUCUGGAGUGAGGAGUGUGUCAAAUGCUCCGGCGCCGAAGGAUGUGGCUGCGGCCGAUUAGGUAGACGGUGGGGUAACGGCCCACCGUGCCGAUAAUCGGUACGGGUCAUGAGAGUGAGAACCCGGAGACGGAAUCUGAGACAAGAUUCCGGGCCCUACGGGGCGCAGCAGGCGCGAAACCUUUACACUGCACGCCAGUGCGAUAAGGGAAUCCCAAGUGCACAGGCAUAGAGCCUGUGCUUUUCUGAACCGUAGGGAGGUUCAGGAACAAGGGCUGGGCAAGACCGGUGCCAGCCGCCGCGGUAAUACCGGCAGCCCAAGUGAUGGCCGAUUUUAUUGGGCCUAAAGCGUCCGUAGCUGGCCGCGCAAGUCUAUCGGGAAAUCUAUCCGCUCAACGGAUAGACGCCCGGUGGAAACUGCGUGGCUUGGGACCGGAAGGCGCGAAGGGUACGUCCGGGGUAGGAGUGAAAUCCUGUAAUCCUGGACGGACCGCCGAUGGCGAAAGCACUUCGCGAGGACGGAUCCGACAGUGAGGGACGAAAGCUAGGGUCUCGAACCGGAUUAGAUACCCGGGUAGUCCUAGCCGUAAACGAUGCCUGUUAGGUGUGGCUCCCACUACGAGUGGGUGCUGUGCCGUAGGGAAGCCGCUAGACAGGCCGCCUGGGAAGUACGUCCGCAAGGAUGAAACUAA
rnacentral:rRNA from 1 species